UGACAACCACCACCUAUUUCAAUCUUUGAGGUCCAAUUCCAUAUCUGAAGGUAGAACUUUUUGUUCCUACUGCAAUUGAGAGUACAAAUUCUGCAAGUUCUAGGGAGUCAUCUCAGUUCGGACAAAUUGUCGGUGUUCAUUCUGUGCAAGGGUCUGAAGUUGCUACAAUUCCUCCUGCUUCCUGACAAGCUCGACAGUGUUGAAGGAAUUCUUGAAAAUCUGAAAUAUAUCUGUGAGCAAUCUUGGAAAAAUUCGGGCAAUCUGUAGGUUCUUCACCUGCUCUCGUCACUAAGUUAUCCCAUUCUUUCAGAUACCUGGACCUGCCACUUCUGAUUUGCUUGGAGAUCAUCAACAAGAGGGCGAUCAAGGCAAAGUGGGCCAACUGAUUCGUAUUCAUGUUGGUCAGAUGUUAACCUACUGGUAUGUUCUGUCGAACUGAGCAACACUAUAUUGACCCUCAAAUCUGAAUUUUGUAACCUAGAUUCAGAAUCAGCAGCAUCAUUAGAGUUACCGGCAGUGGCAAGCCUUAAUUCUUCAUUGCUCCAUGUAUCCAUCAAUAGCCUUGUUUUGGUUGCAUCUUUAGUCUGAUAUCUUUAGGCUAUAUGUUGUGGCCCACAUUCUGUUUUAGCUCAGGCUAGAAACUGAUACAGUGUACUCUGUAGCGUAUUCCAACACCUUGUCUAGUUAAGAUCCAUGAUAUUAAAUGUCAACCGCCAAUCUGAACUUCUGUAGGUGAACACGGAUAGCUGCAGAUCAGAUCAAAACUUUGGAAAAAAUCUAGAGAUUUGAGAUAUCAAUGCCAGAAAGCUUUAAUGGCGUUCAUAAGUAGAACCAUGCGAAAGAUAUUUCACGUUGGUGGAUGAAAAGUUCCCUUGCUCGUCAACAAUUUCUUUAUUUGCCUAGAAUUCCAAGUCUAAAACCCUUCUUUCAUGCUUAUUAUUCCUUGAAGUCCUACCAAAUCUUACCUGAACUGUUAAUUGGAUACAAAAGAGGUAUAUCAAGGUCUUUAGAUGCCAUUUUCAUGUCCAUGAACUGAUGAAGGUGAGCUUCCUUAGGCUGGACAGACUUUGCAGAAACUGUUUUAUUUGCCCAUUGUCUCUGGUUUGGUGGGAGAAGAGCCAUGAUCGUCUGAAUUAGAUGGAACUAUUUUCUGAUUUGAAGGAUGAGUUUCUUUCUAGCAGAUCCAGACAUAUUCUCAGAAAUAAGCAUGAUGUGCCCAUUGCAUCUAAAUCAACAAGAUCAACUGUUCUUAUGGGCAUUUCUGUUGUAUGGUUAUAGAUGCAGAAUGUUAAAGUGAUUUUGGAUGGGCUUUCUAGCAAAAACGUGAAGAUCAAAUGGAUACCGAUUAUUCAGGCUCUUGCUUCAUAUUUCUUUUGGCUGUUUUUGGAGCCUGUUUUCAUGAAUUUGCAUCUAUGCUAAUGAUCCCUUUCUCAGAUUCAAAAUUCAGAAUUUAUGGGCCACUUAUGAAACCUCCGUUUUUGAACUCCUCCCAAUUGAUCAGGCUGGUCAGGUCGGAAUUGCUUGAAGUAUUCAAGUUCUUAAAAAAAUCAGGUUGUCUACUAGUUCCUUCCACUGAAAAUUCAUCAAGGAAAUGCAAGAGAUUUUUCAUGACUGCUGAAUACCCAGCUAAUUUUCGCUUCGGUGUUAAAAGAACACAUGCAACAGACAUAAGAACCUCACUAGCUUAUGUCUCUGGUGGAGAGGAAGAAGAAUCUCCUGUCUUGAACUGAUCACUAUUGUCUUUUACCAGUUCAGGGUGCUGACUCUCUAAAAGAUCCACCGAGACAGAGGCCUUCUGUCCACUUAGGUCAGCAUCGUUUUCAGUGGUCAUUAAGGAACGGUAGCUUCUUUGCUUGGGGAAGUGGAUGGAGGAUGACAAAGCUUUUCAUCAAAAUGGUAACUAUGUCUUAAUUUCAGUCUGCGCCGCCAUGCACCUUCUGUCUUAUCAAAUUUCCAAUGUCUUACAACACUAUCUGGAAAAGGAUUAGUAGACCAUGGACCUCUCUCAUCAAUCAAAGUGCGAAACAAGUGCAUCCAUUUUUCAACCACAUUUUGCUGCUCAUCAUCAUGAGCAAGCUGGUAUACAACUCUUCUACUGUCAACUGAAGCCAGAAUGGUGCUUAGGCUACUCUGUAUUUCAUCUUCACAUCUGACAGCUCGGGGAUUAGCAUUUCCUAGCCAAAACAGUGACCUUCUAAGCACGCUCUCAGUAGCCAUGGCAGAGGAGAGAGAUAUGGUGAUUCAAGUUUCAACUGAUUCAGCUUCUGUUGGACGGAUUUGGGACAGGUCUUUCUGGUAAAUAGUGGAUGUCAGUCGUAAGAAAACUGGAGUGUCUUGUCUUGAUUGCAGUCCGCGGUAAAGGUUCAUAUGAAUUACCAUACGGUGUGCCAGAUAAAUAACCAUUCAGAAAUGCUGGGUCCAUGCACCAGUUACAUAUUAUUCCCAACAAGCCCACCAUUCAAAGCCCCAUUUGAAAAACCAUAGGUUUUCCCGCUGCAAACCGGACCUGAUUCCACCCCUUUGACUGCCAGUAGCUUCAGGUUUCCUCCACAGGUUGCAAUGACUGCAUUUCUAGCUAAUUUUGCAAGCUGGACUGUGCAUUUGCUUGUUUCUUCUCUUAUUGUUUUUUUCUGAAUCAAAUUAUCUUUUGUCGUGUCCACUGAAGCUGUAGCCUCAUUUUAGAAUUCUUUUCCAUAUGUGGGGAUUUAUCUUGCUGCUAGUAAACCAAGGCCAAUAUGUUCGCUCCUGCUUCCCAUUAAGUUCCUGAACUAAUGCAUUCCUUUGAUGGAAUUUUUCUGACAUAACUCCACUAUUUAAAUCGUGAAUGGGAAUUUGGCCAAACAAAUUCCUUCCCUGAAAUCCAUGUUCGGCUAUGAAAGUUCCAUCGGGCAUGCAAGCCUGCUCCUGAGAAGCAAUGCCUAGAAAGGGAUUACUGAAAGCAGAUGGCUGUAUUAGGGACUUCUGCGAUUGGCUAGCACUGUCAUUGGUCGAGAAACUGGUGGAAUUAUGAGACAUCCCUCGAAGAUGGAUAUAGGGGCUCACGUUGCUUCAUGCAUCCGUGAUAAGAGUACCUUACAAAGAUACAUCAAGCUGUAGCGGAACCAGACCCAUUUAUCGCACAGCCUGACCUUGCUCUUGUGCAUUUGGCAGUCUGUUUGGAAGUCUUUGCACAGAUGGAGGGGCACCACGCUGUUUUGCAAGAGUAGACAGCUGGUUUAUAGAAUUAUUUUGCUUGGUAUCACCCAGCCGCUGAAGUUGCUGCUGCCUCUGAAGUUCUUAUAGUUGUUUGAACAUGAUGUGCUGCUGUUCCAACUGAACAUCGUUAAACCUAGAUGGCUGUCUCUGACGAGGUUAUGGCAUAACUCGCUGUUGGGGCUUGAUGAAAUGCUUGUUUGCAGAUUCUUGUGCCCAAAUAUAAGGUCAUUUGAAUUCAAUUGUUGGUAUCUACUGUAACUCUUUGAGAACUGAGGCCUCAGAAUUACAUGUGCAUGGUUUUGAUCAAAUGACACUCGCAAAGACUCACUGCCAGGUCCUACCGUAGAAUCUAAUUGUUGUACAUUGAGAUUCUUCAGAUUGAAAUUUAUAGCUUCUCCAAUCUGCCUCUAGUUUCCAACCCACUGAUUAGAAUUUAUAGGCCAACUCUCGCCAACAGCUUGAGAUUGAAGGUGGCCCUGGGAAGAAUUGUCCUGCUCAAAGGAAUUGCAGAUCCUGUCUUCGACUUCGUUACUAGGCAUAGAUAAUAAAGCCAGAGAAUCUUUAGCUAGUUCUUCUUUUCCGUGAGCAGGGACACCCGGAGUUGAAAGCUGAACUGAAGGAGACUGUUUUGCGUGAUGAAACCAUAUGCUACCUGGGCACUGAUUGCCCAUGACGUCUGCCAAGCCAUGUGUAUACUGCAUGCAACAUUAAUCUGAUCCAUCCAGUCUAUGCAAUUGGUCCUGAGCAUCAGGAACCCAUUCACAUUCUGACUCUUCAACUCUUAGAACAAUAAUUGACCCAAAGAAACUCUCAACAUUGGCUAGGUUAGUCAAGACA